rnacentral:rRNA from 1 species
AACUUAAGCAUAUCAAUAAGCGGAGGAAAAGAAACCAACAGGGAUUACCUCAGUAACGGCGAGUGAAGCGGUAACAGCUCAAAUUUGAAAUCUGGCUCUUUCAGGGUCCGAAUUGUAAUUUGUAGAAGAUGCUUCGAGUGUAGCUCCGGUCUAAGUUCCUUGGAACAGGACGUCAUAGAGGGUGAGAAUCCCGUAUGUGACUGGUGGCUUUCGCUCAUGUGAAGCUCUUUCGACGAGUCGAGUUGUUUGGGAAUGCAGCUCAAAAUGGGUGGUAUAUUUCAUCUAAAGCUAAAUAUUGGCCAGAGACCGAUAGCGCACAAGUAGAGUGAUCGAAAGAUGAAAAGCACUUUGGAAAGAGAGUUAAACAGUACGUGAAAUUGUUGAAAGGGAAGCGCUUGCAACCAGACUUGCAUGCUGUUAAUCAUCAGGAGUUCUCUCCUGUGCACUUGGCAGUGUUCAGGCCAGCAUCGAUUUUGGUGGUUGGAUAAAGACCUUAGGAAUGUGGCAUCUUUCGGGGUGUGUUAUAGCCUUCGGUGCAAUGCAGCCAACUGGGAUCGAGGACCGCGCUUCGGCUAGGAUGCUGGCGUAAUGGUUGUAAGCGACCCGUCUUGAAACACGGACCAAGGAGUCUAACAUCUAUGCGAGUGUUUGGGUGUUAAACCCAUACGCGGAAUGAAAGUGAACGGAGGUAAGAACCCUUAAGGGUGCAUUAUCGACCGAUCCUGAUGUCUUCGGAUGGAUUUGAGUAAGAGCAUAGCUGUUGGGACCCGAAAGAUGGUGAACUAUGCGUGAAUAGGGUGAAGCCAGAGGAAACUCUGGUGGAGGCUCGCAGCGGUUCUGACGUGCAAAUCGAUCGUCAAAUUUGCGCAUAGGGGCGAAAGACUAAUCGAACUAUCUAGUAGCUGGUUCCUGCCGAAGUUUCCCUAAGG